CUUUCUUAUGAGAGUUUGAUCCUGGCUCAGGACGAACGCUGGCGGCGUGCCUAACACAUGCAAGUCGAACGGAGAACUAAUCAUGACAUCUUCGGAU
rnacentral:rRNA from 1 species